rnacentral:rRNA from 1 species
UACAGAGGUGGCAAGCGUUGUUCGGAAUUACUGGGCGUAAAGGGCGCGUAGGCGGCCAUCUAAGUCAGACGUGAAAUCCCCCGGCUUAACCUGGGAACUGCGUCUGAUACUGGAAGGCUUGAGUAUGGGAGAGGGAUGCAGAAUUCCAGGUGUAGCGGUGAAAUGCGUAGAUAUCUGGAGGAAUACCGGUGGCGAAGGCGGCAUCCUGGACCGACAUUGACGCUGAGGAGCGAAAGCCAGGGGAGCAAACGGG